rnacentral:tRNA from 1 species
GCCGGCAUGGCGCAAUUGGUAGCGCACCGUACUUGUAAUACGGGGGUUGCGGGUUCAAGUCCCGCUGCCGGCCCUA